GGAAUGUUUAUUUCUGGAGAGCGCCCAAUCCCUGCUCCUGUUUAAACGACCGUAAAGAACUUUUUAAAACUAAAACUAUUUAAGUUUCUUCCGUCGCUUUCUGCAUCAGGAUUACAAUGUCAGAUGGGACACGGACUGGAAGUUUUACUUUUUCUCACAGUUUCUCUUCAUCUUUCAUCAGCAGUCACACACUCUCUGCAGUACCUCUACACUGGAGUUACAGGAAUAAAUUUCCCAGAAUUCACUGAAGUUGGUCUGGUGGAUGGAGAGCAGAUCAGUUACUACGACAGUAUCAUCAGGAGGGUGAUCCCAAAGGCAGAGUGGAUACAGAAGGUCGACACUGAUGAUCCAGAUUACUGGAACACACAGACACAGGUUGCGCAGGGAACACAGGAGGUCUUCAAAGCCAAUGUGGCUACAGCGAUGCAGCGCUUUAAUCACACUGCAGGAGUUCACACAGUGCAGGAGAUGGUCGGCUGUGAGCUGGAUGAUGACGGCACCACUAGAGGAUACAGUCAGUUCGGUUAUGAUGGAGAAGAUUUCAUCAGUUUGGAUCUGAAAACUCUCACCUGGAUCGCUCCGACACCUCAAGCUGAGAUCACCAAACACAAGUGGAAUAAUGAUCCUGGUGACACUGUGGGCCUGAAGAACUACCUGGAGAACAUCUGUAUCGAGUGGUUAAAGAAGUACGUGUCUUACGGCAGAGAGACUCUGGAGAGGAAAGUUCGUCCCGAGGUGUCAGUGUUCCACAAACACUCUCCUUCUCCAGAGGUGGUGUGUCACGCUACAGGUUUCUUCCCCAAAGCAGUGAUCAUCACCUGGCAGAAGGACGGAGAGGACCUGAUUGAGGACGUGGAGCUCAGCAAGACGUUACCCAACCAGGAUGGAAGUUUCCAGAAGAGGAGCAUUCUGAAAGUCCCAGCUGAGGAGCUGCAGAAACACAAAUACACCUGCGUGGUUCAGCACAGCAGCUUGGGGGAGGGGAAGAUAGUCCUAGAAGUACCGAAAGAUGGAGAAUCAGAUGGAGGGCAGAUUGGAGUCGUCAUUGGUGUCGUCGUGGCCGUCAUCGCUCUCGCUGCUGUUGUCGCUGCUGUUGUCGCUGCUGUUGUCUUCUGGAAGAAGAGGAACUCUGGAUUCAAACCUGUUCCCCUCAAACCCUCCUCUGAAGGAGAUUCUUCCUCCAACAACUCUUAAACUGUGGCUGUGUGUCUUCCUGCUGGAGUGAGAGAGAGAAAGACAUGAUGAUGUUUACAGUGUAAUAUGGAAUAAAAAUGAGAGAGGAGGAGAUGGAGAUGAGGAACACACACACACACACACACACACACACACACACACACACACACACACACACACGUGACUCCAGUGGGUAAUCUGCUCUCGGUGUGGGAUUUUUAUUUUAUGGCUUUUUAUUGUGAAUCUGUUAUUGCUGUAAAAUGGGAUUAUUAGAUUGUUCGGGUUUUUUCGGUGUAAAUUCUCAUAAUUUGUGUUUGGGUUAGAUGUGAGUGUGUAUGAGCUUCUUUCCUCUGUUCAUUUAUCCCCUGAUUUACUGCAGAAUUUAAUCCCGUCAUAACGUCAGGACACGACAGGUUUGAUUUCCGUCUUUGACCUUUUAAUCCAGUGCGAUUUUCCUCAGCAGCUGUUUGUGGAGCUGAUUUGUGCGUCUCAGACAGGAAGUGUGUGAAGCUCCAGAUGUGAUGCGUGUUGAACAGAUUUGACUAAAGUGUAAAAGAUGAGGAGUGACGCAGCAGAAGCAGGAGUUCAUGCUGGAUGAUCAGCGCUCAAAGCUUUUAUUUUCUCCACAAGUGGAAAACACAAAGCAGCUAAAUGACACGGCACUGAUUCCAUUAUUGAUUAUUUAACUCCAUUUAAAGCAAAAACCAAUCCGUUCAACACGCUGACGCAUCUGUACGACCCGAAUCUCUCCCACAAUCCCUCUGUUCUGUCUGUGGAACUCUGAGUGAAUAAUAAAGUGUAUUUUCUUCA